GACAGAGGGUGCAAACGUUGUUCGGAAUUACUGGGCGUAAAGCGAGUGUAGGCGGUUUGGUAAGUCGGAUGUGAAAGCCCUCGGCUUAACUGAGGAAGUGCACCCGAAACUGAGUAGCUAGAGUACUAAAGAGGGUCGCGGAAUUCCCGGUGUAGAGGUGAAAUUCGUAGAUAUCGGGAGGAACACCGGUGGCGAAGGCGGCGACCUGGGUAGAUACUGACGCUGAGGCGCGAAAGCGUGGGGAGCAAACAGG
rnacentral:rRNA from 1 species